rnacentral:rRNA from 1 species
UACGAAGGGGGCUAGCGUUGUUCGGAAUUACUGGGCGUAAAGCGCACGUAGGCGGUUCGUUAUGUCGGAUGUGAAAGCCCUUGGCUUAACCGAGGAAGUGCAUCCGAAACUGGCGAGCUAGAGUACUAAAGAGGAUCGCGGAAUUCCCGGUGUAGAGGUGAAAUUCGUAGAUAUCGGGAGGAACACCGGUGGCGAAGGCGGCGAUCUGGGUAGAUACUGACGCUGAGGUGCGAAAGCGUGGGGAGCAAACAG